CGUUUCUAUGGAUGUUGUGAGAGUGGUGCUAACUGCACGUCAAACAGAUAACGAGGUACUUCGGAGUCAUUAGGAGCAAAAAGAAGUGAAACUUGCUCAAAAGUUGGAUUUCUUCUCAUCAUGUUGAAGAAAACGAAAAGGCAAAACCACCGACAUAAGAAUGAGGUCACUACGACGUUAUACGAGGAAGUUAUGAGCGAAAGCAUCGAUAGAGCUAGUCAGUUUCCUAGAACUGACCGGCUAAUUGGUAACUGGGCGGUUCUUUUCUGGAUGCUUGGGCAUGUAUAUCAAUUUAUAUCACUAGUUAUUCACUACCAUUUCCCUGACUCCAAGAGAAGUGUUUUCUUCUCAUUAUUAUUCUGUCUGAAGCCGAGAGAGAAACGACUGUUGUUGGUGGUGAUAAUAAAAUCAGGGGAGAUCGAGAAGCUGAGCCAUUGAUGCUGAAAUUGAGAGAAUCUGAAAGAAAUCAGUUGACCCAGAUUUCAUCUGGUGAACGAGUAGACGAGAUCUGUUCCUGAAGAUUGAGAAAAUCAGAGAGAUUAAGAAUCAGGGUUUGAUUGAAUUGCUUAUGGAGAUAAAGGUCAAAAGAUUCAGAGAAUUGUUGACGAUUUAGGAGAUGGGUCUUGUUCAAAUUCAUGCUACAGCAGAAGCAACAAGAAGAUUCAAGGCUGUUUGAGAUCGAGAAUCUGAUGAUGCUUAUGGGGUGGUCGCUGUAAUUGGUUUAGAAGAUAGAGAUGUUGCUGCUGACUUAUAAGGUUUUAUAGAAUCGAUGUUGGUGGUGAUUACAGGGAAGAAGGGUUACAGGUAGAAAGGUUGAGAUAAAGAUGAGUUAGAGCUGUAAGAAGGGUUGGAAUCAGUGGCAAGUGAUAGAGCUUACUGGAGUUGAAACUGAGGGUUCGAUUGGUGAAGGGUUGAACUUGUUUAACUACUGCUAUCGACUUGAAAGAUUGAGAUUGAGAAAGGUACUUGAAUUGAGAUUGUGCUGUUAAUGAUUUGUUCAGGUUUGAAAGUGUGAUGCAGUGGUGGAGUAACUGUGGUGCUGUUGAAGUCAUGGUGUUAGUCUGGCUGAGAUGAAGCUACAGAAGGUGAUAAUUGGAGCUGGGAGUUUAUGGGUCUGGUGCUGUUAAUUGAAGCAUCAAUGGAGUGAAACAAGAGUCUGUGAUGAGAGAGAUUCAGGUGGGGAUUCAAAUCUGUGUUGCGACUUUGAUUGUAAUGGUGCAGGCUUGAGAUGGUUGCUUUGGUUGCAACUGUGGCAGAAGGGAAAUUGGAGUUGUGGUGAUUGUGGAAUGAUAGCGGAGAUGAGGAGUACUAGCUGGUGAUGUGCAGUGGUUAGAAUGAAAUUGCAGGAGCAGUGUUGAGGAAAUGAACUGGUACUGUUGGUUGCCAAAGCUAUGACUGAGCUGCAGUUGCAGGAAAGAACAGGGACAGAGCUGAAUGGCUGGAGGCAAAAGUGUUAGAAUGUAGCUUCAGAUCAAUGCACAGGAGCUUGUGGUGAUGCAGUUCAAUGGAAGGCUUGAGACUGAAACAGUGACUGCUUGAGGCUUGAAGUCUGGUGGAUACGAAGCUGAAUUGCGUUGUGGUGCUGUGUAUGAUACAUUGCAGCGUGACAUGAACUGAAAUGCAGAGUUGGUGGUCAGGCUGAGGACGUGUAAUUGUGAAGCCUUGGUCCAAUGGGUAUGUUCAUGUGAACUGCAGGUUGAGUUGAUGCUGCAAUGAAAGUGUUGAGUGGUUGUAGUGAGCUCUAUGUUGUAGUCUUGUGUUGAUGAGCAGCUACUGAUAGUGCCGAAGAUGCAGAGAUAUUAGUGCGGGUUUGCAGGGAUCCUGGUGUCGCAGAGAUGAUAGGUUGUGUCGCGGGCGAUGGUAUGCAGUGAGCUGAAAUGGGAAUGAGGAAUGGAAGAGUUGUGCUCAUAGAACUUUCAGAUGGUGUUGAUUGAGCACUGGUUAAACUGGUUGUGUUUGAUUGUAUUGAAAUGAACGGCUGCAGGAAAAGAAUAGCAAUGUGAUUGAAGAUGUAGCCGAGCUUAGCUGAGUGCAGAAGAUUGCUGUUGCUUUGUGGUGCAGCAUGAACUGCAGUGAAAUACAGAACUGAUGUGUGGGGAAGGCACAGCCAUCUUGACUGGAUUUGCACUAGUAAAGCGCAAUGAUUGUGCUGCAGAAGCUUAGGCCUUCGCAGUGGCUUUGGCUUAGAACUAAGUCAGCUGGGUUAGCACUUACUCAGAUCUGACUUAGCUGACAUCACUGUCUCGAAUCGGUCUCAACUCACCUGACUCUUACCCUGACUCAGUGAUGUUGAUCGGUUUGACUUGGUUGACCGAUAGUAUGACCGAUGACAGUUUGACUUUGCCGGCCAAGUUCCGACCACUUUCUGGGACUUUCAGUGAUACUUUUUGGGCAUAUUUUCUACGUGGGUUUUUCUCACACUUGGGCUUGGAGGACUUCUAUCUAUUGGACUUUUGAAGACAUGACCUAAGAAGAGCUAUAAAAAGGAAAGUUUUCUACUUUUUUGGAUAUCACGUAUUUUUUACUUGGAGUUUUGGAGAGCGGCGACUAGGAUUUGCUUUCGUUUAUUUUUCAUCUUCUUCAUUUCAUUUUUGAUUAUGAUUAUGAUGAACUCAAAAGGUAUGAGUAGCUAAAUAACUAUUAUUGGUUAUGGGAUAAAGUUGAUUUCACAACAUGAUAUUGCUUCAAUGAAUUAAUUUUGUCUCAA